rnacentral:tRNA from 1 species
GGUGGCGUGGCCGAGUGGUCUAAGGCGCUACGUUUAGGACAUUUGCCCAAAACCGUAGUUCGAAAGAGCGCGAGUUCGAAUCUCGCCGCCAUCA